UACGGGGGGGGCAAGCGUUGUUCGGAAUUACUGGGCGUAAAGGGCUCGUAGGCGGCCAACUAAGUCAGACGUGAAAUCCCUCGGCUUAACCGGGGAACUGCGUCUGAUACUGGAUGGCUUGAGUUUGGGAGAGGGAUGCGGAAUUCCAGGUGUAGCGGUGAAAUGCGUAGAUAUCUGGAGGAACACCGGUGGCGAAGGCGGCAUCCUGGACCACGACUGACGCUGAGUGAGCGAAAGCCAGGGGAGCAAACGGG
rnacentral:rRNA from 1 species